CGCCCACUUUCCCCAGGUGCCAUUUCUCGUCCUUUCCCUCUGAGUUAGUUCUUAUCCUCGAAGGUCAAAUGAACUUCUUGUAGAUGACAAAAUGAUGGAUUUUGUUUCUCAAUCCAGCCAACAGACCUGUGCUUUUCGGUCGGGGAGUUGAGACCACUGAUAUUCAAAACUGUCUCUGAAAAGUGUGUGUUGAAUGCUGUCACAUUGUUGUUGUUGUUGUUUCUGUUUGUGUUCUUAGUUCUAUUUUGUGUGUCAGCACUUACAGUUUCUUUUUCUUUCUGUGGCCUCUUGCUUGUACUUACUCAUCUCUUUGACCCUCAGUUGGCGGCGCUGUCUGGGGAGGUUACGGAACCUUAGAGGAGCCUUGCUGGAGGAAGCGCACCAUUGGGGGUUGCUUUGAGAGCCCAUGGCCUUGCCUCACUUUCAGUUCGCUCUCUGGGCUUCCUGUUUGUGGGUGAGGAUGGGCUUUCUCUCAUCUUCUUGCUCUGGCCUCCUGAUGCCAUGCCUCCUCUGCCGUUAGGGACUCUUUCCCUCCAGAACUGUAAACCCAGAGCAAACUAAGUUGCUUUUGGUCAUGGUGUUUUAUCAUAGCAACAGAACAGUAACUAAUACAGUCUUCACCAUUUCAUUCAGCCUCACGCUUGUGUUUUCUCAGACUUUUCUCAGGAUUUAUUCCUCUUUUCUUUAAGUUCAUUCAAGUAGUUCAUGUCCUCUUUAAAGUUCUUGAAUUAUUUAAUCGUGUUUAUAAUUUUUCUAUUAAAUUCUGUAUCCUGGAGCUCAUCAGAUUUUUUUCACUGAAGAACAAUUCUAUAGGAGUAGGGGGUUUUUCAGGGGUAGUAGUGGUGAGGGACAUACUGUCACGGUCUUUCAUAUUGUGUUUUGUGUGAUAUGACAUGUGCAGAGAGGCUUACUUCAUUGGCUAUGUGUCUGAAAUGACAAUCUAGCUGCCUCUGUUGAGUGGAAGUUUUGCUGUGUCUCAGACUUGGUGCAUUUCAGAUGAGAAAUGAAGGUUUGUAGGUCAGUCCUUUGGGUGUUCAGUGUUAAUUUUUGAUUGGAGAUACGGAGCUGAUUCCAAUUCAGUGGUAACUGGGAAAGCCUGCAGAUAUGGCUCUGGACUUGGUCCAAGUAUAGAAGGGCAGUGACUGAUAGAGCAAGAAGGGGUAGUGUGGAGCAGACUCACCAUGAGAGCAAGUGUGGGUGCAAUCUGGGAGUGGGGGGAUGCAGGCAAGGGUCUGGAAUGACUAUCGCAGGGUGUGUGCACAGAGGUUGGACUCCUAGUUGGGCCUGGGUAUGGAGUUUUCAAGUGAAAAAGAUCUAGGGAAUUCACCCAAUGCACAUAUAGUGACCCAACUAAGCAUAAGGGGCAGUGUGGGAAGAGGUCUGGGUGUGGCAGGGUGGUGUGGAUGGCAUGGAUGGGAGUUUGGAGCCAUUACUCAGUCAGUACACAUGUAGAUGGUGGAUGGGUCUGGGUCUGUUGUAAUAUUUUAUCAAAAAAGUAGUUCAGGCUUAUAAUGGGGGGCAGGUGGCAAAAAGAACAUCUGACAGGCUAAUGAUAUCAUUCACCAAUAUUAAUAAGGGGGAUAUCAGAUUCUUCCCACACUGCCCCAGGGCAUAAUACACAAAAUGCAGGAGUCUGUGUGCAUACCUAUAUAUGGUGUGUACAUUUACGGAAUGUGGACCAUUGUGGUAGCCUAUUAAUGAUGAUACUGUCUUUAGCUAACUACCCUCUUUUGGGGUGAAAUUAAGUUGUUUCUGAAUGUUUGCACUAUUAAAGAGCUGUCUGGAGAUUAUCUCUGUAGCUGAGUCUUAGUCUACAUAUUUGAGAGUGCGUUAGGAUAAAUUCCCAGAGGAAGACUUUUUGGGUGAUGGGUAAUUCACACUGUCACCCAUCGUGACAGUGCCCUGAGUCAGGUGACAAGUGUUAAUUAGACAUCACACCAGGAAGCCGUCAUUUUGGCUCGGCACUGUCAUCACUGCUCACAACACUCGGUGAACUCUGUGUUUGGUGAUCCCAGCUGUGACUCACACAGGAAAAUAAACCGUCAUCUCUCAUGCUGCCUUUGAUCUUCGACUCUUCUGGGAAACCUAAUUUACCACGAAAGCGACCGUGGAGGAUGCUCAUGCCAGCGUGUCAGCAGCUCCGGGGAGGAGAACGAAGCCUGGCACGGCCUGCAGUGCUGACAAUCGGAGACAUCGGAGACAUGUUCACUGUCCCGGCGGCCAGCUCUUCGUGCGUAUGUCCUGACGGGAUUCUCAAAAAGGUGAUGUCCCGGUUUUUUCCCACUUAAAAAGCGGGCUUCGAGACAGAAACAGAACCAUUUAGUGCCAAGAAGGCCAUCCAGUAGGGAUGAAGCUUCCAGCUGUCUUACAGGUUCCUGGGGAAAGUUCUGCUACUGUAGCAAGAAAUCUGGCCUGAUGAAAACUAACCAUCUCCAGAGCCCAUGUUGACCCCAUCCAUCUUUCCAGCAUCGUUUGCAGACUCACUCCUCCCCUGACCUCCAGAGAAACAGCAGAUGCCAUGGCUUUUGUACUCCUGAUUCGGCAUGCCAUUCCCCCAAGCUCCUGGAACAUCGAUGCAGCAACCUGCCUUCUCAGCUGUCAAGGAACAGACACCUAAGGCUCCUGCCGUGUGUGACUCCUGGCUUCCCCCUCCCCACUUUACCCCUUGUCAGCAUGAAGCAGCCUCGAGAAUUCAGCGCCCUUGUUCCCCGACUUGCUAUCCAUAACUCACCUUUUUUAUAUAAUCAGUGUUAGUCUUUUGACCUGCCCCUUGGAAACCCACCCCUUGGGGACCCUCCUAGCGUCCUGAUGUAAAGAGAACUGCCCUUCCACGCCCCAUGACAUGUGCACCCUCAAACCCCCCCCUCUUUCUUUCUGCCUCCCUCUUUCCCUAUCUUUCUCUUUGUCUCUCUACUAUAAUAAACUUAUUUCCACGUGGAUGCAGUGCCUGGGGGAUGAGUGACUAUCCAUGUGCCACAACCCAGCGCUGCAUCUGCCCGGCAUGUUUUCCCUCACACGUGGGAUACCCUGCCUGGCCCCCUCGUGUAAUAUCCUAAUAUGUGUCCUUUCAAUAGUCGUGCUUAUUGACUAUUUUUCCUUAUUGGUGUUUGAACAUAGUAUUUCAUCAGCCUUGUCUUCCAUUUAUCUUUUUUUUCUUUUUUUUUUUUUUUUUUUGAGACAGGGUUUCUCUGUGUAGCUUUGUGCCUUUCCUGGAACUUGCUUUGUAGACCAGGCUGGUCUCCUGAGUGCUGGGAUUAAAGGCGUGCGUCACCACCGCCCGGCCUUGUCUUCCAUUUAUAAUACUCUUUUUUUUUUCUUGUUUGGUUGAGCUUAUUGAUGAUAUUUCCCAUUAUGUUGUUUUUAUUUGUGUUGGUGUUCUGUUUUUUGCAGGUCCAUUGAAGAAAAAGGGUCACUCCAGAAUGUAAUUUCAGGCUUAGCAGAAAGCAGCAAGGGGACUCAGUCUCAAUGGACUGACCACUCGUGGCUUUGCAAAGGCCUCCUUUAUUGUUACACAAAAAAACACCUUUAGCAAACCAAUUUCUGCACACCAAAAGCUCUUAUCUGGAGUUGUUUGGAGCAACCAUUUACCUAUGUAAUUCUCAGCCAUGAGACCUCCCAGCUUGCCAGGUUCUCUCAAAACUAAGUUUUGCAAAGGUUCUGGACUCCUUCCAGAGGAACUCUGGUAAGAAUCAACUGACUUUAAAUGAAAGCUCACUCAAACCCUAGGUACUAGUCCUCGGGAAUUCAGUCAGAUGCAAUGGCUCUGUGAAAUCUCUUGCAUAUUUGAUUCAUUGAGUUUUUAAUUUCCAACAUUUGUUUUUCAAAAAUCUCAGUUUCCUUGCUGAUAUUUUCUUCCACAUAACUGACUGUUUACAUCUAGAUUGCUCAUUUUCUCAUCCAUUUUUGCUGACUUUUUUUCACAGUGUUUCUGAUCCUCCUAUCCAGGUCCUGGAUUGACUUUGUUUGUUUGUAUCCUCUUUGAGGUCACCAAUCAUCUUACCAGAAAACUUUUGAAGUUCAUGUGACUUAUAAUCUAUUUCAGUGUCUUUGAGAACAGUAGUGGAGGAGUUAUGAACUUUACAGGGAUCAUGUUGCCUUGCCUUUUUGUAUUUCUUCUAUUUCAGUGCUGUAAUUUGUGCAUCUUUUGGAAAAGAAAAAAGAAAAAGAAAAAGGAAAAAAAUACACCAAGUCCGAUUUGUGUUGCCCAUAUACUCAUGGGUCAAGGACAAAUUCCCAGCGGCUAUCCCCCUAAAGAUAACUGAGUCCUGUCCUCCCCCACCCCCCACCCCUGCCAGAAGUCAUUAACUUCAGCACCUUUAUUACAAUUUUUAAGAAAUGCCUUUAAUCCCAGCACUUAGGAGGCAGAGCCAGGUGGAUCUUUGUGAGUUCGA